CAGGAAGCGUCGAAAGACGUCUCUACACACCAUUGUGAACCUACCAUUGUCGUGCUUCGGCAGGCGGGCACAUAUGUCUUCUCAUUUGUGCCCUAUGAGCCUCGGUGAGGUGCCUGCCGGAGUGCAAACUAAUACUCUUGAAAUCAUUGUGGAACAUCAGACAAACCAAGAAAAUAAAUUGUAA
rnacentral:misc_RNA from 1 species